rnacentral:rRNA from 1 species
CCUACGGGAGGCAGCAGUGAGGAAUAUUGGUCAAUGGACGAGAGUCUGAACCAGCCAAGCCGCGUGAAGGAUGACUGCCCUAUGGGUUGUAAACUUCUUUUAUAUGGGACUAAAAUGUUCCACGUGUGGGAUUUUGUAUGUACCAUCUGAAUAAGGAUCGUCUACCUCCGUGCCAGCCGCCGCGGUAAUACGGAGGUGCCGAGCGUUAUCCGGAUUUAUUGGGUUUAAAGGGAGCGUCGGUGGAUUGUUAAGUCGGUGGUGAAAGUUUGCGGCUCAAGCGUUAAAUUGCAGUUGAAACUGGCAGUCUUGAGUACAGUAGAGGUGGGCGGAAUUCGUGGUGUAGCGGUGAAAUGCUUAGAUAUCACAAAGAACUCCGAUUGCGAAGGCAGCUCACUGGUCUGCAACUGACACUGAUGCUCGAAAGUGUGGGUAUCAAACAGGAUUAGAUACCCGUGUAGUC